rnacentral:lncRNA from 1 species
GUGCCAUUUAUUAGCUUUGUAAAUCGUAGUUGGACCUUUCGGGGUAUGAGUGAACUGCAUCUUUUAUUUUUUCAUGAUAUAUUUUAUGAAUUUUAUCAUUAAUCAAUGUUUCCAAUAUAAGAGUUUCAAGCUAUGAUAUAUUUGUCUAUUGUGAGUGGUCAUAGUAGAGCUAAUUCGUCGUAAAUUUUUUAUUCAGCCCCUCCUAAACUUUUUUUUGGCUUCGUCCCUGCAUGGAGACAUGCAAAAGCGCAGUCUCAGUUCGAACUAU